rnacentral:rRNA from 1 species
AGUCGAGCGGUAGAGAGGAGCUUGCUUCUCUUGAGAGCGGCGGACGGGUGAGUAAUGCCUAGGAAUCUGCCUAGUGGUGGGGGAUAACGUUCGGAAACGGACGCUAAUACCGCAUACGUCCUACGGGAGAAAGCGGGGGACCUUCGGGCCUCGCGCCAUUAGAUGAGCCUAGGUCGGAUUAGCUAGUUGGUGAGGUAACGGCUCACCAAGGCGACGAUCCGUAACUGGUCUGAGAGGAUGAUCAGUCACACUGGAACUGAGACACGGUCCAGACUCCUACGGGAGGCAGCAGUGGGGAAUAUUGGACAAUGGGCGAAAGCCUGAUCCAGCCAUGCCGCGUGUGUGAAGAAGGUCUUCGGAUUGUAAAGCACUUUAAGUUGGGAGGAAGGGCAGUAACUUAAUACGUUGCUGUUUUGACGUUACCGACAGAAUAAGCACCGGCUAACUCUGUGCCAGCAGCCGCGGUAAUACAGAGGGUGCAAGCGUUAAUCGGAAUUACUGGGCGUAAAGCGCGCGUAGGUGGUUUGUUAAGUUGGAUGUGAAAGCCCCGGGCUCAACCUGGGAACUGCAUCCAAAACUGGCAAGCUAGAGUACGGUAGAGGGUGGUGGAAUUUCCUGUGUAGCGGUGAAAUGCGUAGAUAUAGGAAGGAACACCAGUGGCGAAGGCGACCACCUGGACUGAUACU